AGGCCUCAGCUGCAGACUAAACAGCUGUGUCUAGCUAUUCAAUAUCUUCAUGGCAUCAAUAUUGCCCACAGAGACAUAAAAUGUGACAACCUUCUGCUGGACACCAACUAUAACCUCAAACUGUGUGACUUUUCCAUCAGCAAGAGGCUGGCUUAUACCAACGGCAAGUUGGUGCUGAGUAGUGACUUCUGUGGUACUCCAAACUAUCAAGCACCAGAAAUCUUAAAACAUCGUCCAUACAACCCUAAGCUUAAUGAUGUAUGGAGUAUGGGCAUUGUGUUGUAUAAGAUGCUCUUUGGAUCGCUUCCUUUCAAAAACAGAAACUGAGAAGAAUUUGUGCGACUUCAAAUGAAGCGAAGAAUUACCUUCCCAACCACUUCAUCUGUUUCAACACAAGCAAAAGAGCUGAUCCACAGCAUUCUGCAGCCUGUGCCAGAAAACCGGAUCACAGUCAAUGGAUUGUUGGAGAGUCCAUGGUUGUUGCAGGGGACCAUGGGAGAAAUAGAUAAAGCUGGACCAUCUGGAACAAAAACAACAACAAAGUCUAGUCAGAAGACACAGCUAGACAACAAGCUCCAAAAAGCUUCAAAAAGCUGCUCAACUGCACAGCCGGGACCGUCUGCUGCCAAAUAAAAGCACAUAACAACAAGACAUCUUGUCAGGACUCAGCUUGCAGGUGUCUGUCGUCUGACUGGUGGGCGGGGUGCGCACAUCUGCAGGUAGUUUUGCAGCACCGACCCUGCACUAUAUUAACAGCACAUGGACAGCGGGAGGACGCCAGAGUGUUACCGUUGUUGGUGCCCUCCUUGUCCUCCACUCGUGCCUCUGAGUCUCCCCCUAGACGAUUGUCUCCCGGGUUCCUCUGGUUCUCUCUGAGUCAGUUUCUCCGGCCCUGGACACAGGGCUUCCCCGCCGAUCUCCUGGUUCCUCCCACUGUUCUGGAUCCCCGGAUUCCCCGGUGCUGCUCGGUCCCACUCCUGCCCCCGCUCUCUGGUUUCCCGGACACACAGUAUUCCUCCCCGGUCGGAUUGUCUGCGCUCUGUGGUAGGCUCACGUCCCUCUGUUUUUUUCCC